rnacentral:rRNA from 1 species
UACGGGGGGAGCAAGCGUUGUUCGGAUUUACUGGGCGUAAAGGGCGCGUAGGCGGUCGUGACAAGUCACUUGUGAAAUCUCCGGGCUUAACUCGGAACGGUCAAGUGAUACUGUCGGACUAGAGUACAGAAGGGGCAACUGGAAUUCCUGGUGUAGCGGUGAAAUGCGCAGAUGUCAGGAGGAACACCGGUGGCGAAGGCGGGUCUCUGGGCCGUAACUGACGCUGAGGAGCGAAAGCGUGGGGAGCGAACAGG